UACGGGGGGGGCAAGCGUUGUUCGGAAUUACUGGGCGUAAAGGGCUCGUAGGCGGCCAACUAAGUCAGACGUGAAAUCCCUCGGCUUAACCGGGGAACUGCGUCUGAUACUGGAUGGCUUGAGUUUGGGAGAGGGAUGCGGAAUUCCAGGUGUAGCGGUGAAAUGCGUUGAUAUCGGGAGGAACACCGGUGGCGAAGGCGGCGACCUGGGCCAAUACUGACACUGAGGUGCGAAAGCGUGGGGAGCAAACAGG
rnacentral:rRNA from 1 species